rnacentral:rRNA from 1 species
GAUGAACGCUAGCUACAGGCUUAACACAUGCAAGUCGAGGGGUAACGAGAGGAAAGCUUGCUUUCCUUGUCGACGACCGGCGCACGGGUGAGUAACGCGUAUCCAACCUGCCCCCAACUAAGGAAUAACCUUGCGAAAGUAAGACUAAUACCUUAUAAUUUCCUCAGAUGUCAUCUGACGAGGAAUAAAGAUUUAUCGGUUGUGGAUGGGGAUGGGUCUGAUUAGCUUGUUGGCGGGGUAACGGCCCACCAAGGCAACGAUCAGUAGGGGUUCUGAGAGGAAGUUCCCCCACAUUGGAACUGAGACACGGUCCAAACUCCGACGGGAGGCAGCAGUGAGGAAUAUUGGUCAAUGGGCGAAAGCCUGAACCAGCCAAGUAGCGUGCAGGAUGACGGCCCUAUGGGUUGUAAACUGCUUUUAUACAGGAAUAAAGUUAGCCACGUGUGGUUAUUUGUAGGUACUGUAUGAAUAAGGACCGGCUAAGUCCGUGCCAGCCGCCGCCGUAA